AAAUUGAAGAGUUUGAUCAUGGCUCAGAUUGAACGCUGGCGGCAGGCCUAACACAUGCAAGUCGAACGGUAACAGGAAGCAGCUUGCUGCUUUGUUGACGAGUGGCGGACGGGUGAGUAAUGUCUGGGAAACUGCCUGAUGGAGGGGGAUAACUACUGGAAACGGUGGCUAAUACCGCAUAACGUCGCAAGACCAAAGAG
rnacentral:rRNA from 1 species